AGAGUGAGCACAUAUCCUCUGCUCAGGCAAAUCCUGUUCUAACCAGGGAAUUCCCUGACAGUACAGUGUCUGCUUCCAGUCUUGUCCUCCAUCCUAGCAGCAGAUGCAUGGUGGGGACUUGCCUUCUUUCAUGGUCACUCAGUGGGUGAUAAGCAGAACCCACUGGAUCACUUUGGCAGAGUGGGUUUAGCCUGCCCACAUCUGCUGUAGCACUGGGGCUCUGUAGGAUUCACUGCAGACUAUGGGUAUGGCUCUAUCUUUGAUGUAGCUCUGCACAGCCAGGCUUUAAAUCCCCUGGCUCUGGAGUCAAUAGCUGUGUAGCUCCUGCUUUCAGUGAUUUCAACCUGAACUGUGAAAACCACGCAAGAAGCAAGUUCUGGUAGCCCAGGUAGAGUUCCAUAGAGCAAAUGAACAUAGAUAUUGCCCUCAUGUCAAAUUUUGUUUAGGCAUGUCUGUAUUAGGCUAGGCACUUAUUUAAAAGAAACAGGGAUUUUAAAUGAACCUAUAAAGCAAAAGUAUUGUCUUGUCCCUGGUCAGAUCUUACAGUGAAGGAAUGAACAAUCCAUCUGGCUCUCCUUGGAGCCCAUGUAACUGCAGUCAGUGCUGGUAGACACUACUGUUAUUGCUGCAAGAAUCUGCCAACCUUCUUCCUUCCCUUCUAUUUUUUAUCUUUGCUCAAUAUCACACCUUGCCUGCUUUUAGAUUAUAAAGAUACCUUGUUCUCUUUCAUGCUGAAGCUGGAGGCAAGCAGGAUUUUCUGUUUACCCAACUUGCCAGAACACCACAACCACAGAAAAUACGAAAGAAAGGAGUCUAUAUGAGUAUGCUGUCACCUCUCACCUUAGCAACAUUUCCAAGUAGCACGGGACAACAGAGGAAGUGAGGGAAAAUAGUCUACCAGAAAUCAUCAGGAGCAUCUCCCUGUGCUACUCCCCAGUCUGCCAGUCUGGCCUGCUUUGUAUCAUCACCUAAUUGUCACACUGUACAUGAGGAGCAUGGCAACACUGCUCCAAGAGGUGAGAACAUUCUUAGGUCAGAUGAGGCUUUGAGGCUGACAGGGACUCUAGGAUAAAGCCUGGGCCCCACUCAAUGUUUCAGCAGCAUCGUAGGUUGCCACUUACCUUUUGGAAGCUAAGUUUCCUCAUAUGGCAGUCUGCCAGCAUCUGGUGUACAUCUCUGGUUCCCCUCUAAGCAGAGCAAAAGAGCGGUGAGAAAUAAAUGCAAUGUUAGGACAAUUGCUCUUCUUUUGGAGCAAUAGAUGUAUAAUGCAGCAGCAGUCAUGACAUUUGUUAACAAAUUUUGCUAGCCUUCUCUGACAAACAUUGGGUUUUCCAUCAUAUUAGGCCUAACAUACCACAUGAGGAGAACUCAGGAGUGUCAGGAUUGCCAUAAGCAUGUCUAGAUUUGCUAAGCAAUGCCCCCAAGUACUUCCAGGGAGCAGCUUCUUUCCUCCCUCCCCCUAAAUCAAUCCCUUGCAGAACUUGCCAUCCACAACUUUACAAGCCUGUGCUCGUUUGCGGCUGCGGCUGUGGUGUUGCAAACGCCUGCUCAACAGACUGACCCAACUAGCUGCAUAUCUCCUGCUUGCUCUCCCCUGCAAACCAGUCUGGCUACCCUGACAGCAGUUUCUAGCUGAAACUUGCCUUUGAAGGUGAACAGUUAGAUUUGUCUUUAAGCAAACACCCACCCACCUCUCCAUUGGACCCUGACUGCUCCCACGGCACAGUGGGUGAUGAGGUAACUGUACUACACUGCUUACCAAGGACAUGCUUCUGCCACCUACUUGGCUAAUAUUUAAUAUGAACAUGGCUUUACAAUUUCUCUCUCCUCCAGGAAACUAGGAACUUCAAAUGUGUGUGGAGCUGCUUUUUCUUAGAUAUUUGUCUGUUCCCUGCAACAGACAAAGCACAAUGCCUGGAUCCCUUACAUUAAAUGGGAACUAAAUCUUUUGGAAUUAGAUUUUUGGUAGUAGCUUUGGGUUUGUUUUUUCUUUCUUUUUUUUUUUUUUUUUGUCAGCUGUGACUAAUAACUUCCUAUAAAAAAAAAUCUCCCACAUAGUUGCUCAACUUCAGCAAACAGUGCAGAGAAAAACCUCAUGUGACUCAGAGGCUUUUGAUAAAGGAGAGAGCCACUCCAAAUUCCCUUCACUAUUUUGGUAGCAGCAGGAGAGCAUGUUGCCAAACCCCAACCUUCUGUUAUCAUGUUUUUUAUGCCGAAAUAUGGUGUAGCUGUACGAUAAAAGAAUAUACACUCAUACAAGUUCAUUCAAGGCUGAAUGAAAACUGCUGAAUGAGAUUGGACUUCUCCCAUUAAAUUGGCAGGGUGUUCUGUUCCUUCUGUUCAACUGCAGUUGCAUGGGUAGUUAAUUUAACUCAUCUUUUUCUCAGUUCUCUGCAAAUGGCUUUUUGUAGCCAGUUAAAAAUUAGAAAUGUAUUUAUUGCUGGAGAAAAAUAUUUCUGUACUAAAACACCAAAGGAAAGCAGACACUGUAGUUACUGCAUUUCAAAUUGUCCUGUGCUGUCAGGGUCAUAAGCUGUUUUCUAACUAUUUUAGAAGACCGAGAAACCAAAGAACCACGCAUGUCAGAUGAUGCUGGUAAAAUUAUCUUCAUUUGUUCUUUUAUAAAAGUGGAUAAUCUGUCUAAUGGCUGUAACCUUACAUGUACAGAUCCUGGGAUAGCCUGCCUGGUCUUGCCCCAGAAGCCAUCCAAACCAGCCACAGUGCAGGAGGGAAAGUACUGCACCCCUCAUUUUACCCACAGAGAAUGGAAGCAAAGGAAUUCAGAGUAACUUAUCUGAUGCUACAGAGCAGAUCUGUCCUACCUGAGAAUAGCACAUGGACCUCCUGAGUCCCAAGGAAGGAUGUAACAGCAUGGCUUCUUCUCUGACUACAGAAGAAAAGCCUUAACAGAUAGAUGGUUUUUUUUCUUCAGAUUUCUAUUUACAGCAACCAGGAUUUGCUGCACUUCCUAGUUCUCAAAACAUGCGUUUCUGAUAGCUGUGGGAAAAGGGAAAAACUACCUUUGUGAGCUCCUGGCUUUUCCCGGUUGUUGUAUCAGUCAUUUUUCUCCCACGUUCCUCCUUUGUGUGCACAGUGCUUUUUUUAUUCUCAUGAAGAUCUGUCUCACCCGGUAGUCCUGGUUGUGGGUGUAGAGACCAUGUUAUAGAAGAGUCAGUUUCUCUGAAAUGCAAGAGAGAGGACUUAGGAACCUGAGGGAGUCACUUUCUGCUCCCUGAGCAUCUUGCAAGGAAGCUGCACGUGAGCAGAGCAGUGCUGCAUUGAAGCCAUGUGCGUAUGGGCAUUUAUAUUUCCAAAUCAGGUAGGUGCAGUAAUUGAUUUAAUGACUUGUGGUGAGCAACUGUUGUCAGGCUGCACACCAGCACCUCUUGGUGAAUCAGUGCAAUCCAAGCUCACCACCUGCCACAAUAACAGUGUUGGCAUUUCCUGUGGUCUGCAGAGUGUCCCAUGCAGGAGCCACAUCAGGAGAGGCUCAAUGAGCCGGAGCAAGUCUCAGGCUGGAGCUGGUCUCUGCCAGCAUUGUAUGUCCUCACAGAAAGCCAACCUUUGCCUGUGUCUUUUGCCUGCAAGACCAACACGACAGUGGUAACCACAGCCCCUACAGAGAAGACCCCAGCCUCUUGGUCCCUAGAAAAGCCUUCUCCUCCAUGUCAGCCCACUCAGACCCCCAGCCGAAGUGUGCUUACCUGCCCUCCUUGCCUUGCUCUCUCGCCAAGCACUUUGCUCUUUGUGCCUGGAUCUCUUCACAGAUGGCUGCAUAUGGUUUAUCUGAAGGAUGCUCGCCCAUCACCCAGACCCAGACAUCAUUGUCAGCACCGAGUUUCCAUGUCACCGACUUCCCAUUGGCUGGAAAAGAAGCAGCUCUUUGGCAAAUGCUGUUUGCUGGAUAGCAGGGUCUGUGUCCCACCUGCUGUGCCCUACUGGCUGCUGUUGAUGACAGAGCCUCUCCAAAAGCAACUGUAUGUGGGGAAAGCUCAGCUGGGAGGCAGCCCACACUUCGCAUUUUUUUUCAUGCUACUGAAACCAGGUCAGUGAAGGAAGUCUGAGUCUGGGGGCAAAGGAGAAGGCUCACUACCAUUUGUUUUCUUGCUUUAAUUCCUGGCUACUGCCCUCCCCAAACUGUGUGAGGGUGAACCACCUGCAAGAGAACACUGUGGGGGAGAGCUGGGAGAAGAGUGCUAUCUUCCUAGCGUCAGCAUGCUGUGCAAUCCUGGUGAGCAGACUUCAGAUCUAAAGUCUCAGUGGGAACUGCAGAUCUGGUGCCUCAGGACAGAUAUUCAAAUCCCUGGUUAUGUUAAAGACAGAGGCCCCAUUUAGUGGGAAACUUAAUGAGAUGCACCUCCUGGGGGCAAAUAAGCCCUGUCUUCCCAGUUAGGGGAGCCAAGCAAUUUGGUCAAGGACAGAGUGUCUGGGUCAGGGAGUAAAACCAUAGUGCCUCUGGUCAAAACUACCCCAUUGCAGGUGGGUUUGGAGAUAAACCUGUUAUAUGUCCAUGGGAGAAGAAUUACUCUAAGGAUACAUUACCUCCUGUUUCCAGGGAGCAGUAGACUAGGCCAGAUAUGUGUCAGAGGGUGAAGCAGCCAGGAGGCAAAGACUUACCUUUUCUUGGCAGUGGCUUCUUUGCUGGAGCCUUGUCCACAGCAGCUUCUCUUUCCUCCCACCGUCUGAUCUGUUCCUGCCUCAUCUUGAAGAAGAGGAUCUGCUUCUGCUCCUCGCUGAGUUCUGCCAGCAGGUCAGGAUCGAUGUACAUGUCUGAUAAUAUCUGUUUCAGCAUGGCUGCAGGUUUCAGUUACACGUUUGUGGCAGUGAUCUCCAGGGAUAAGAUCCUCUUCCUGGCUCCAACAAGAAAGAGUCCCUGCCCGUCUGAGCCUGGAGUAGGAAUGCAGGCGCGCCAGAGUAAUUAUGCUUCUAUCUUUUUUUUUUAGCUCAAACUUCCUGCGCAGACCAGAAAAGUAAAUAAGUAUCUUAAAACCUGCUGUUAAGAUUCCUUGAAAUAGGAGGUAAGCUCAGCUCCCACGCAGCCCUUCCCUGCUUUGCAAGGAGAGCUGGCUAGAAGGGGAGAGUCCAGGAGUGGGGAGGUUGUGUUGAUACUCUGAUAAACCCAGCUGAUAGUAUAUCAAAGAGAGAGAGCACUGCCUGUUAGUCAUCAGAGGUGCGGCUGAGUUGUGCCCAAGUAAACAUUCCUGCUGGGCAAGGAAUCAAUGAACCCAUGACUAGACGGCUCCUCCUCCUUCCAAACAGGAAAACUUUGAUGAUCAAAAGCCCAGCCUGCCUUGUUUUGCCAAAGAAAGAUGGGGAGGACUUUUGGCUCUGCUUUUGAGGUGGGAGUGGGAAUUUCGGAGUGCUCCCAUCCAUCAAAGGCAGCCUCCCAGCAAGUCAAGGGAGCACAAGUAGUGCAGCUGGUUUGAAGAAAGACAGCGUGGAUGGUCAGUGUCUGAGACAGCUCCCGGUCUGACACAUCUUGCUGAUGCACCUUGCUCACGUGGUGAGCGUGGCAUGGGACAUCCCUGCCUGACAGGAUGAAGUGGAUGGGGAGAAGGAGCACUCCUGUUCCUGCACAGGAUGUUGGCUUGUGUAUAGUGCACACUGGUGAGGUACUGACACCUGCCCAGCUGUGCUAUGUGCUCAUGGAUUUACAUUUACAAAAAAUGGGAGCUCUCCUGUCACUUAGGAACUUAGCAAAUGAGAAAAUAGAAAUGUGGACUAAAGACCUUGAAACCAGUUCUUUUCCUUAUCUUAUCUGGAUAAACUCGAGGAGACCAGGAGAUUGGUUGGCAGUGCUUUUGGUGACACAGGGAGGCUGACAGUCAUGUGUGAAGUGCAAGACCAGAGCACGGGGGCUGGUUGGCCAGGGGUGGCAGGGGCUUCCUGGACAAAUUCUUGAGAAAUGUUGUAGUCAUCAGGCUACAAGGAGAUUAAGCCAGUGGGUUUAUUCAUGUCCUUCUGCACAAAUCUUGGGAGUCUGAGGAACAAGCAUGCUAGGACAGAGCACAGUAGGUGGGAGGAAGAGCUGGUGAGGCAGUAAUGUGGAGGUACAAAGGGCAGAGACAUGGCAGAAGAACCUGUGCCAGGGUGAAGUGGGACUGUAUAUUAAAUUAAGUUAAUGAGGUCAAAUCAAUUAGCCAUCUUACAGGAGAUAGACUGAAUCCCUAGGGACCCAAAUGUUGGAAGAAAAGUGUUGGGAGCACCUUCAGCUUCAGAGUAUGACUGCUUGGUUCCUACUAUAUAAAAUAACAGAGGCAGUAGGGGAGCCAGCAAGUGCAAUACUGAAGCUUUCCAGGGAGCACACAUGGAGUACAUUUAAUUAGAUAAAAUGGGGCAGCACAACAGAAGCCUUCAUAAAGUCAGACUCUCAGAACAAUAUAUGCUGUGUUGGUCCACCUUCCCCUGUCUCACAUCCAUGCUGGGAUCAGGUAGGCUGUCCCAAGCAUUUCCCUGCUUCUGAACAUGGCUUGCAUUGAAACUGCUGAAGACAGAGCUGGCCGGAGCCCCAGUGCAUUUUAAUGCCCAUGCACUUUCAGCAGGGAGAGCGUGAAAGGAGCUUGGAGCAGCUGGAGGAGCUGUAGGCAGGGAGACAAGGAGUUCCCUGAAGAGCUCCAGGCAUCGACAGAGCAGACCACUGUCCCAGCAUAGCCUUGUCUGCAGCAGAGGCCAGGAGCAGGAGCAAGAGUCCCUGGGAAGGUGCAGUGAUCAGGAAUUGGGAAUGAGCCUUCUAUUUCUAUUUUGUUUCUCUGAUUACUUAAUAUUUUCCCUAUUAAAAAUGUUAACUUAAUUCCAGAAUGAAGCAUGAAGCUAAUGUUCCAAAUUUGUAUUGAUUUGGCUUUCUUGAUUUAAAUAAAACAAAGGCUUUUUGGGGAGGUGGUCUGAUCUGGGCAAUGCUUUCUGAGUACCCCACAAUAGCAGAAUUGUUCCAGCUCAGCAGGGAAGAGGCUUGGACUGUCCUUGAGCUAUGGGGGUGGCAGCUGUAGAGAGGGAAGAGCUUUUUGUGGGGAGGGUGUUGUUGAGCAUUUCCUCAACCCUUAUUUAUGCAUCCUUUGUGGAUCUGAAACAGUAACAGAAGUAGGAUAGCUCUGGCCAUCUGAGCUUGAUGAUGUGGCAGAGAUGCCUUCCAUGGGCUGACAGAAAUUAAUCACAAUGUCUAAAACUGAAGGGGCUUUUAACAAAAGAGACUUGUUACAUGCAGGGAGAUGAGAUACAUUUAUUCCCUUCAGGUGUAGUUCAUGAGCUUGAGUCCUGCACCCUGCUCUUUGUAUAGCAGUGGGCAACUUGAAUCCACCUCACCAUCAUGUCAGCCCUCUUCCUCAUCCCUUGGCUGCACAGGAGGCAUUGAACAUGACCCAGAGUGGCUUAUGUUGCAGAGUUAAAAUUUGCAGUGAGCAAAGCUGUGGUGGUUAAAUGGUAUUUCUUUCUCCAUCUCUCCCAGUGCUGCCUCUUGGUGCUGUAGGUGCUCUUCCUCACUCUGGGGUGUGCUUCUGUCUUUGAAAGUUCCGUCUUGCAUCUUCUAUAUCCAACCUGACUCCUUCUGCCUGACCAGGUUACCUGUUUCUCACAAAGCACUUGGGAGACAGAGAGGGUUUAUAAGGAUUGUGAGUCUUUUCCUCAGUUAAAUUAGGCUUCCUGGGACACGACGCAUGAGAAGCCAUCAGCAGAAUGCAUGCAGCAGCAUGUCCCUGCUGCUCUGGCUUCUCAGGAGUGGGAAUGGCUUUGCUGUGGCAUUUACUUAGUAGGACUUGAUGUGCUCUGACAUAUGCAGUGGUGACAAACUGGUAGUCCCUUUUUCCAUGCCUAGGGACACAGUGUGUUGGCAAGAUGGAAGGGUGCUCAGAAAACAAGUUUCACAGUACUGAUGCAGUUUUGCAGAGUUGGAUCUCCUUGUAACAAAUUGGUUGUAAGAGGAAAUUUAUAAUGCUGUAUCCCAAAGGUACCCUUUAAAACACCAGCUAUUUUAACACUGGGAAAUGACAUGCAUCUCAAGAGGUUUGAAGUGGUUUUUUAGCAAUCACUUCAUUAAAGAUUUUAGGAGAUGGAAGUCCUUGUAAUAGCAGCAUUCAAAGUUUGAAUCAAACCCAUGUUACUGUCACUUGGACAGAAGUGGUUUUGCAGAUGCUGUUCCAGCUGCAAGUAGUAUAUUUACAGCUCAAAUUUAGGGAAGCCAAAGACUGCAGUAAUGGCAAUGGGAAUUCCAAGCAGGUAACUUGUAGGAAAACUCUGGUUAGAGGUCUUGUUAAACUUUCUACUACUUGUAUUUUUUCAUGGGAGUGACAGAUGGGAGCUAGUUUUGUGGAGGAAUGGGAAAUGGGAGUAGCCAAAACCAGCAAAACUUAAGUGGAGGGAGGUGGGAAGCCAAAACAUGGCUUUUGGGGCUAUGCCACUUAUAUAUGAUAGUUGACUUGAAAGCCAUAAAGGAAGUACAAUGCAAAGGUCGAAUGACUCUUCAAAAAACAAGGUCACAUAAUAUUUAUGUUUUCUGCUAGAAAGCAGCCUCUUCUCUGUGCUCCUGUAAAUCAUCUACCAUUAACAGGGGAAAUAAGUCUAUGAACACACAUAAAAGCACAACCACUUUUCAGAAGAACUGGUAUGAGCUCCUGCUCACGUGUGCAGUGUGUGAUACUCAGUCACUGACAGGCUCACUGACACUCCCUUUUGGCAUAAUAUUCCUGGUCCUCACCAUGAAUGCUGCCAUCUGAGGGGAAGAUUCUCCACAAAAACAGUAGACAGACAGAUAGGCAUUUGGUAUGAUUUUCACCAAGAAAUCAAGCAGGAGGGUGUAAAAUGAAAUAGUGGACAAGCUGAACAGUGGCUCUUGGGCUGAUUUUCUGGGAGGCGGCUUCUUCAACCUGCUGCACACAUCUCUCCAGUAAAUGUGGCAGUAACUGUAAAGUAAGAAUAACCCAAGAAACUCAAAGAUGAAGAGAAAAGAGAACACAAGAAAAGCUGCUUCAGGGUACAGACUGAGGAGAUAAGAGAUUUCUAUUGUCAUAAAGUAGUUUUUCCCAUAAAAAAGCAGGUAAGAGCACAUUGUUCAGAAAAUGGUGGAACUAUAUUAUUUUGAAUCAAGAACUUCUCCUUGGAGCUGGUCAUCUGCUUAGUGAGAAGUGGCUUCAUAGACACCAUGGGGAAUUCUUUUCCCUAGUCAAGAGGUUGAGCCGUGAGAGUGCAAUUGAAUUUCCUUUCACUUGCCAAACUAAGUCCUGAAGCACUGAAGAGGUAUUUUGCUCAGGUUUUGUUGGAUUUCUCCAGUUCCAGCCACUCCAAUGCCAUCACCUCCCUGCCAGACUUCAGGAAGCGAUUUCUGAUUUUUUUUCAGAAGUGAAGCAAAACAGAAUUGCCAAACCCACCUGAAAUCAGUGCAGCCAAAGGUAACUGCUUCGCAAACCUUGCUCUCAGUGCACAAGUCUUCAUGGGUUAACUGUUACAUAUUGUUCAUAAAAUGCACUUUUGUCAGAAAAUAUUUAUGUUAGCAGCUGUACCGGCAAGGUUACUACCAAAAUAUCCUUCUGUGCUUUGGGGUCUGGUUGUUGGUUUAUUUGUUUUGUUCUUGUUUGGUUUUUUUUUAAUCCUCAUCCUGUUCUAAAUAUGGGAAUGAUUCAUUCCUCUCUUUCUGUUUAAUUUCACUUCAGCCUACUGUUUUCUGUUUCAGAUGAAAGGAAAGCUAGUUUGUUCAUAAGGAAAAUAUGACUGCAUAAGCUUGGCACUCAGAAGACAGAACUAGACCUGUUUGUAUCUUAGAAUCGUAGAAUUGUAGAAUGGUUUGGAUUGGAAGGGACCCUAAAGAUCAUCUAGUCCCAACCUUCCUGCCAUAAUCAUGGACAUUUUCCACUAGACCAGGCUGCUCCAAGCCCCAUCCAACCUGGCUUGGAACAAUUCCAGGAAUGGGGCAUCCACAGCUUCUCUGGGCAAUGUGUUCCAGUGCCUCACCAUCCCCACAGGGAAGAAUUUCUUCCCAAUAUGUAAUCUACACCCACCUUCUGUCAGUUUGAAGCCACUCCCCUUUGUCCUGUCACUACAUGCCCUUGUCCAAAGUUUGCCUCCAGCUCUCUUGUAGCCCUUUUAGAUACUGGAUUCUGAGUAAGGCUGGCAUAUAAUGGUUGAAAGAGCAAAACCAAUGAAGUUACCACAACAUGAAUUACCUUGAAAUUACCUAUAGCUGAACUCACUUGCCCUAUAGGCCCCUGAUCUUAUAGCCUGUGGCAGUGGUUAUCUUAUAGCAGGUACAAAUGGAUGGAAAUGGCAACAAGGAAAAAUAAUUUGAUAUAGCAGCAGCCACUGAACACAGUUUGAGGACCCAGGGCUCUACUUUCAAGAAAAAAGUUGUCUUCCUUGCUAGAAUAGUGUGCAAACAUUUCUUGAUCAUCUUCCUAUAUUAAAAUUACUGAGGGAAUUACCAGUGCGGUGAAAAGGGUGAGGGCUUCUAUAGGUUAACACACAGGAUCAGAGCCUCAACCAAACUCAGCCACUGUAAGAAAGGAGAUUUUUUUCUAGCCAUGACACAUAAUUUAAUUUACAGUUCUGUGCAGAAAGGGUGAUCAGUGGUAAAUUCCCAAAUCCAGCACCCUGAGACACAAAAAAGCAGGCCUACUUAUACAGUUACAAUCUUAAGCUAUUAGCAUUUCUUACUGAAGUCACUACUUGGCUAAAUUGUUAUUGGCUCAUCCUUUCUCUGCUUUGAAUUAAAGCCAUUGUGUCCUAAGAAAUCACAGUGCA